CCAGUUCAUGGCUUGUUUGGCAGCAACCCUGAGAUACUUUACAGCCCUAGACCCUAAAAGGUCAAGUGCCAUCUUAUUCUCAAUAUACAUUUUAUUACCCAAUCUGCUCCCGACAUUAAAUAAAACUCCAAAAAUUAAAUUCCGGCCCUCAAACCCCACAACAGGAUUUAAUUAACCUCGCCUUCAAGGUGUACAAUAAUAGAAAAAAGUUGCAAUUCCUUGCCCCCACUGUGAGACAAACCCCAGCCACAUCUCCAGCACACAAGAACUUCCAAACGCCUGAACUGAGUUCCUCCAGAACCUCCUUCCCCAGGAGCUUGCUACAAGUGCCAGAAAUCUGACCACCAGGCCAAGGAAUGCCUGUAGCCCAGGAUUCCUUCUAAGCUGUGUCCCAUCUGUGCGGGACCCCACUGGAAACUGGACUGUUCAACUCACCUGGCAGCCACUCCCAGAGCCCCUGGAACUCUGGCCCAAGGCUCUCUGACUGACUCCUUCUCGGCUUAGCGGCUGAAGACUGUUGCUGCCCGAUCGCCUCGGAAGCCCCGUAGACCAUCACGGACGCCGAGCUUCCAGUAACUCACAGUGAAAGCUUGUUUAAUGAAGCUAGCUUCAAUGCUGUGAGCUGCUCUAUAGACGCCCAUGUAGGAGGAAACUCAAGGGGCCCCCAGCCACUAGCCAUUGAGGAACUGAGGCCCUCAAUCCAACAACCCACAAGGAACUGAAUCCUGCCAACAACCACUGAGUGAGCCUGGAAGCGGAUCCUGCCCAGCUGAAACUCGAGAAGAUUGUAGCUCUGCUGCCCUGACCACUAUUCUAACUGCACCCUUGAGAGAGACCCUCAGCCAGCUAAUCUGUACCUGGAUUCCUAACCUGGAGAAACUGAAAUAGCAACGCAUGUUGAUGGAUAUGAUCCUGCCCCGGGGCUC
rnacentral:lncRNA from 10 species